GUGUUAAUGACGGGCCAUGUUGGCAGUGUCAGCCGAUUACUAAAUCAAUCGCCAUUGUCAAUGACAGGUGUUAAUAAUGGAGGUCACGAGCGCGGAACUUGUGAUCGCUCGUGCUGGGAUUGCCGACUGAUUCAUACCGCAUACGGUUGCAAUAUGUCAAUGAAAGUUGGCCUUUCUUAUGAAAUGAAGCUCAAUCUGCCACGCUUCAUCGCGUAUGGAUACACUACUUGCUUCAUAUUUUUUUAUGCGGUGUUAUUUUACCGAAGGGAUAGAGAUUAAUUUUUAAAUUGAUAUCCACGAUGCUAUUCCAAAUUGAAACCCUAGAUCAACGACAGGCUUUACGAAAGGAUUAAUAUAGAUUAUGAAGAAAUGAUCUCUAUUUUUACUACAAGUGUAAUGAGGUUUUUAAUUAUAUUUGUCAUAGCAUUUCAA